GAUCAGUCGGAACUCCUCGGACUGGUUCCCGAAAGUAAACACGUGAAUAGAAGGAUAUUUUAAACAUCUUUUAGAGUAAAUUUAAGGAAAUUGCAUCAACAUGGGAGCGAAGUCAAUUGCAAUGGCUCUCUGGAAAGAACCUUUUGUUUGGAAAUUUGGUAAGAGUCUAGGACUGUUUGCUGUGGUGAUUCUGAUUGCUCAUGAGAUGUCAGCAGCAGAUGCAGCCAAUGUUGCUGAUAUUACAGGAAAUGUCCCAACUGGAAGCUGAUAGAUCAGACAAAAGAAUGAUACCUUUUCCGAUAGAGAAGCAGAGUGUGAUGAGCUGAAGUUAUUACAUGAAUUUUCAGGACAUUUAUUCAAUCAAUGUGAUAUUCAUCAUAGCUUUUGCUGUAGAUGUGUGUGUGUGUGUAAUAUUAUGGUGUCUUCAUCACUGAUCAUCUUUAUGAAUAAAUUUGAUUUACACAAUC
rnacentral:sRNA from 1 species